UACGUAGGGGGCGAGCGUUGUCCGGAUUUAUUGGGCGUAAAGAGCUCGUAGGCGGCUUGGCAAGUCGGGUGUGAAACCUCCAGGCUCAACCUGGAGACGCCACUCGAUACUGCCAUGGCUAGAGUCCGGUAGGGGACCACGGAAUUCCUGGUGUAGCGGUGAAAUGCGCAGAUAUCAGGAGGAACACCAGUGGCGAAGGCGGUGCUCUGGGCCGGAACUGACGCUGAGGAGCGAAAGCGUGGGGAGCAAACAGG
rnacentral:rRNA from 1 species